UACAGAGGCGGUGCGUAGCUGGCCCCGCCCUUUGCUGGAUGGAGCACUCAGGAGAGCUGGCCCCAUCUCUCACUGGCAGCAGUACUUGAGAAAGCGCUUCCCCCAGGCAGCACAGUGGAGCUGGUCCUGGCAGCAGGCAUGUGGUUGGGAAAGCUGCCCACAGGGUCAUGAGCUCAGGAAAACUAGCCCUGCCCCUCACAAGAUGCAUCGGUCUGGAGAGCAGACCCUACGCCUCGCCUGGGGAGCACGGUGGAGGGGGCCACAGGUGAGCCUGCCCCAAGGGGGAGAGCCUUGGGGAGCUGGCCCUGCCACUCCUCUGUCAUGGGGCAGGGGAUAUGCUCUCUGCCCUCUUGGCCUUUGCCACCUGAGGCAGCUGGGAGAGCUGAUCCUGGAAGUGGGUGAGCUGCCCCUGUCCAGGAGCACUCGGGAGAGAGUGCAUCUCGCCUGGGCAAUACAGUGUGUCCCUGAUGGUGAAGACAUGGAUGAACUAGGGCCAAGAGCGUGGGAGGAAAGCUAACCCAGCCUCUCACAGGCUGCCCUUGGAAAAGCGGGCCUCAAACCUUGACUGGGCACCACUGUGGAGCUGGCUCUGGAGGUACGGGUGCAGGUAAGCCAGCCCUGAGGGCAUGAGAGCGGGAGGGCUGACCCUGCUUCCUGCCAAUGGUGGCAAUGGCGGGCCUAUCCACAACAGUGCUGGAGUGCUGGUGUAGAUAAGGAAGAGCCAGCAAGCUAACCAGCUCAGCCACCACCCAGGCCCAGAUCCAGGGCUCUGAAUUGGCCCACCACAAAAUCUAUAUCAUCUGCGAAUGUUUGAGAUGUGUGAAAGGGCUAAUCCUGUGCCAAAGCUGCAGGAUCUCCCUGACACAGGAGAAAUCCCAGCGAGCAUCCGACAUUGAUGGUCACAGAAGUCAGAGAAUGAACCAGACCAAUGACUCACUGCAACGAACAUUUGCAAGUGAAGAUGUGUGGACAGAGGGAGAUACUGCAAGACACAGUGACCUAGUACAGCUUCCACAAUGAGAUAUUGUCUAUGCUUUGUUGUUGUUGUUCAUUUGUUUGCUUGUGUGUUUCAUUGGGUGGUUGCAAGGGCAGAGGGAGGAUGAGAGGACUGGGGUGUAUGAUGUGAGACUCACAAAGAAUCAAUAAAAAGUUUGUGUCUUUUUUUUUUUUAAGAAAGUCGGGAGGUUAGCUGAGGAUAUGGCUGAAUUGAAUAAUGUUUCUAGGACGUGUGAAAGAAGCUGGACUUAAUUAUCAGUACUGUUAAAGAAGAAGAAGAAGAAGAAGAAGAAGAAGAAGAAGAAGAAGAAGAAGAAGAAGAAGGAAUGAAAGGAAAGGAAAAAGCUGGGGAUGAGGCUCAGUGAUCAAGCACUUACCUGACAUAUCAGAGGCCCUGAGUUCAACACGCAGAACAAACACCCUGCCUUGGUUUUCUUUCUGUUGCUGUGAUAAAACACCAUGAUCAAAAGCAACUUGGGGAGAAAAGGGCUUAUUUCAUCUUACAGCUUACAGCCUGUCAUGAAAGGGAAGUCAGAGAAGGGGCCCAAAGCUGGAACCAAAGAAGAAGCUAUGGAGGAACCCUGCUUACUGGCUUGUUCCCUCUAGCUUUCCCAGCCUGCUCUCUUAUACCACUCAAGACCACCUGUCCUUUCACGUCAAUCAAGAACAUUCCCUCAGACAUCCCGCAGACCAAUCAGAUGCAGGCAUUUUCUCAGUCGAGGGUCCUUUUCCCAGAUAACUCAAGCUUGUGCUCUAUUAACAAGAUACUGACCAGUAUGCUUCCCGCUCAUACCCUCAGAAUUAAGCUGCAUGUCUGCCUGUAGUCCCAGGUAUUGGGGAGGAUGAGACAGGGAAUUCCCUUAAACCAGGAGUUCAAGAUCAGCCUGGGCAAAGGAGCAAGACCCAGCUCAAAAAUAACAGCAGGGCUGGAAAGAUGGCUCAGGCGAGGCUCAGCACCAGGGUGUUAAAAGUAACAGCAGCACCACAAUAAAGACAGAAAGUGGUUAGAGACAGGCAGAAAAGAAUGAUUCUUCCAUGGGGAGGAGGCAGAGAGAAGAGUCCUACAAAUUUCCAGGAACACCUGGGCCUGGGGCUUGGGAAGGCAGAAGGACCCCCUCUGGAGUCCUCUUCAGAAGCAUGAUCCUGCCACAUCUUGAUGCUUAAUUUAACAAGAAUCUGCUGAGGAAAUUGGCACAGCUCCUAAUGUUCACAGGCUCACUUAAAGGCAAGGACGUGGGGCUGCCCCCAGUAUCUGUUUGCACAUUGGAAUGGCAAAGGUGAAUUCCUGCAAAGUCUGGUGUUUGCUGAAGGGUUUGUCCAUGCGGGUCAGAGGGUCAGAGGGCAUUACCUGCUCCAGGAAAAUGUGGCACCAUCCCAUGGGCUAGAAUCCAGGACCGGACAAAAAGGAGAAAGCAAGUUGACUACUAGACCAGCACUCAUCUCUGUUUUUCCACACUGACAGAGUGUGACCGGACGUCUCACCCCCUGCCAUCACGCCUUCCCUUCCAUGACAGACUGUACCCCCAGAAGCCAUGAGCCAAAGCAAACCGUUGGGGCUGAUCUGGGGCUACUGCGUGUUCAAAUGUUAACUGCUCGUCCCCCAGGAUCCUUACUGUUUUAUGAGCAAAUUUUCAUGUAUCUAAACUGACGUUUUGAAAACUUUGCCUCCCAAAUUAUCCCUGAUUGGCUAAAUAAAGUUGCCUCUAGCCUGGACUGGGCAGAAGAGAGGUAGGCAGGUUCACAGGCUUGGAGGUGGCAGAAGGACCAAGAAGAGGGGGAGGAAGGAAGAGGAGAGGAGCAGGUCGCCAUGGGUUAGCAUGUGGUUGGAAGGAACUUACUCUGAGGACCGGCACGAUGGAGAAAAAUGAAAAACAUGUGCAAGUAUUUAUGGGGGUUUCAGCUGGGAAGUAGACAAGAUAGCUUAGAAGGUUAAUAUCUGUCCAGCCCCAGUGUAUUAAGGCCUAUUAAAAAUCUAA